GAAUAUGUACAUAUGACUGUCUUACCUCCGAAAGUAGUCAAAAGAGUUGGUCGACCGAAGAAAAAGAGGAUUCCAAGUGUCGGUGAAGCACCAAAAUUGCAUAAAUGUGGUCGAUGUAAAGAAACAGGCCACAAUAGAUUAACGUGUACCAAUCCAAUUUCAUACAUCCAGAAGUCGAGCAUACAAGAUUAGUACCCGUCUUGGUGGAAGAUGCUUAUAAAAUUGUGUCCUGUGUUGUUUGCAAGAUCACUAAAGUCAUCUCACUGACAAUUCUAAGUUGAAGACUUUUCUUCUGCAACUUCAAGACUUUCCUUCUCUUUUUUUUUAUCCUACAGUGAACUGUUUAUAGAAUAUUUACUCCUUUGGCAUUUCAAGCUUUUUGAGAAAGACUUGAAAUCCUAUUAUGACAAUAUUGUGUGCUUUAGAACUCAAUAAAUGCUCUCCUUUUGCUACUGCAGUAUUAAUGAUGCAAAUCUUGCUGAUUACUUUUAGUUUUUA